rnacentral:rRNA from 1 species
GACGAACGCUGGCGGCGUGCCUAAUACAUGCAAGUAGAACGCAGUUGCGAACGGGUGAGUAACGCGUAGGUAACUGCCUCAUAGCGGGGGAUAACUAUUGGAAACGAUAGCUAAUACCGCAUACUGUGAGAUGGACCUGCGUUGUAUUAGCUAGUUGGUGAGGUAAAGGCUCACCAAGACGACUAUACAUAGCCGACCUGAGAGGGGGAUCUGCAAAGUGGGGACUGAAGCAAGGUGCAGAAUCCUACGGUAGGCAGCAGUAGGGAAUUCUCGGAAAUGGACGGAAGCCGGACCGAGCAAAUCACCGUGGGUGGAGAAGGUUUUCGGAUCGUAAAGCUAUGUUGUUAGAGUAGCGGUAACUAACCAGAAAGGGCCGGCUAACUACGUGCCAGCAGCCGCGGUAAUUC